rfam:Pseudomonas fulva 12-X, complete genome.
UCGUGAGUCGUCGCUGGCCUGAUGCCAUCGCGACGCGCUUCGCCCGGCUGCAUAUGAGCCGGGCGGAGUUUCAUCAGAAAAAAGGAA